GUCAGUCCUCUCCUUGGAGAAGGGGCGGGGAGGAAGCGGCCCCUUGUUCAGGUUGAGAAGGGCGAUGGCCAGCGACCAGGGGUGUGGGUCCUUGGUCCAGGCUCCAGAGGUGCAGCUGCCCUGAGCCACUGCGUCACUGUCCCCACUGGCAUCACCAGCAGAGGAGAGCCGCCAGGGUUAGGGGAGGAGGGUGCGCAGCCUCACUGCAGAAGCGCCACCUCACCUGGCAGGUUCCCGCGCCCCAGGGAGGCAGUGGGAUGGCGUCCCCACCUCGAACCGCCUUGGUGAUGCUCGGAGCCAGGUCUACGCAGUGGCCCAGCCCUGGGUCAGAUCCUCUGCGAGUGGCCAGAGCAGACGGUUCUCUUCCUCACAGAGAAAUGCCUGUGACCCUGGCCGGUUGGGACAUCCCAGCAGGUGCAGUUCACUACGCGGGGGCUGGAGGGUCCUCCUCCCCUGCCUCCACCCAGGGCUGCAUAACAGAAUCUGCCCCAACUCCGAGCGGCUCAGUGAGAGGCAGUCGAGCCUCCUCCUCCUCCUGGCUGGAGCCCCCCGGGUCAUCACCAGCCCCACCCUCAGACCCCUCCUCAUCCACCAGAAACAAGCUUCUCCGUGGUGACUCGGGAAAGCCACUCUGAGCCCUGGCCUGGUCCCCGCCUGCUGAGCUCCGGGCUCAGUGGCCUCUGGGUGGCCGGUGAUGCCACUGGUGACAGUUACCGAGCCCUCAGGGCUGGCCAUGCCUCGGGAACCACAAGGGAGGUGGCUGGGGAGACAGCACACCCAGGCCUGGAGCCACCUCCAGCCAGGGAGUUAGGGGUGGGCCCUGAGCUCUGCUUUGGAGGCCCCAAGCCAGGCUAUCCGGUAUGUCCUCAGUCCUGCCUGUCCAGGGGGCCUGACAGGGUGAGCCAGAGGACCCAGGGCGGGGCGUGGGGCAGGCUGGGUGCUUGGUUCUGGGGCAGCCCACGCUGAGCAGGGCAGGGUGUGGGUGGGCGGAGUGGCAGGGAGCUGCUGGGAUUCAGGACUGGGAGUCUGGGCCCAGGAGGCUUUGGGACACCCCAGGCAUGGCCCAGCUCCAUGGCCAAUCAGAGAACAUGUUUCCAGGGCUGGGAAGAGUCCGAAGGCUCUGGAGAAACAGCCCAGGGGAGGCCCGAAGGGAGAGAAAGACGUGCCAGCCUCGUCCGUCAGUGCCAGCGGGCAGCGGCCCUUGGGUCACCCAGCAUGUGUGUGCAAAGGGAACCCUGUGACCCAUCAGUACCGGCUUCCCUGGUGUGGGCUCAGCUUUCACAGACCUGGAGAGUCCUGCCCGCCUGCUUCCGGGGUCCUGUGAAGACGCUUCCUGCGCACAGGGCUUACCCACACUUCCUGAUCUGCCGGCGGAUCCAGGCGACGUGGCUCCGGACGCUCGUGAAGACGGCCGGCAGCUCGAUCAUGGAGCAGCCGAUACCCCAGCUGACCACGCCAACCUGGACCCAGGAGCCUCCCUUCCUGCAGACCAGGGGCCCUCCGGAGUCCCCCUUCAGAGAGAGGACACAGUCACACGUCUCACCAGGGGCCUUCGUACAAUGGGACUCCCUGUCCAGCCUCGAGAGGCCCAGGCUAGGGGGAGCCCCCUGGGGCAAGGCGGAGCCUGAGGGUCUCACCAUGCAGGGCCCCCGGCCCAGGGUGCCGGCACACAGCAUGUCCUCCGGGAUGACCUUCUCGUUGGCGCUGGCAUGCAGAAGAUUCCUGGCGAAGCCUCAGGAUCCCUGGAGGCUGUGGACGGGUGUCCGUGAGGCUGGCCUGCAGCUGUGAAAUCCUCUGCACCCAGACUUCCGCCUGCUCGCCCAGCCCUGGGCCUGCCCGCAUGGGGAGGAGAGAAGCCCCAGGCUGCCUGGGAUGGGCUCCCAGCCGUCCCUGCCCCUCGCUUCUGGCCACGUUCUGCCCGUCAUGGCCCAGGACCUCUGGCUCUGUGCCUGGGGAGCAGCUGCACCCCUCACUCUCAGGGGGCUUGGCCUACGCCCACUUUAAGCUGCUGCCCAGGCCCAUGGAGCGAGCAGCUCCGUCUGAAGAAGGGGAGAUGAGAGAGCAGCUGGAGAACAGGAGGCCUAGGAGGCUGACCAGGCCUAGGACACCAGGAGAACGUGGCAGCUGCGUCCUGGGUGCAGGACCCUCCCUGCCUUACCAGGCCCCCACCCAGCUGCCAGGAGGCAGGGUCCAGGCGGCCCUGGUGUGAGGUCCACCAAAAUCCAGCGCUGUGUUAUGGGGAAGGCUCUCGAAGUUGCCCAGUGCUGUGUCUGCACGGGGAGGCUCCUACAGGAAGUGCGUGUGAAGGAGGAAAAUGCAUGCAGGGGAAGGAGUAGGGUGCCAUGGUGAGUCAAACCGCGUUCCUGGAAAAGAUCCGUUCAAGCGUGAGCCCCAGGACCUAGGAAUGUGAAAUUUAUUGGAAAACAGGGCUUUGGCAGAUGUGAUUAAGGAUGCCAAAAUGAGAGCAUCCUGGGAUUAGGGUGGGCCUAAAUCCAAGGACAGGCGUCCUUAUAGGAGAAAGGGGGAGGAGGGGUUGAGACCUAGAGGGGCAGGGAAGACAGGCAGGAAUGGGAGUGAUGUGGCUGCAAGCCAAGGACUGCAGGCAACGCUGGGUGAGCGAGCGUGAGCA